AACGCUCGCUCAGUAACCAGUCGUGAAAGUGUCUUCGUUCUGGUGGCGUCCAGUCCGCCUCGCAUCUUUGGUAGUGCUGCUAUAAUUAGAGCUGAAGUCAAGAAAAGUUCAAGUUGUUGCGGAUAACAGUGCUGCUGUGCAAUAAUUAUAAUAGCAGUACCAAAAAAUGUGAAGAAUGAUGCACACGUUUCUCGACCGGACCGGGCAUGUGGCUUGGCGGUGUCGUCAGUUGAAUUUGACGAUUAUUUUGUCAAUUCUUCCCGACACUGUCAGAGGGAACUACAUCGUCGUGUUAAAAACAGGUCGUCGAAUAUUACUUUCAAUAAUUUUAUAUUUAGUGUGUAUGAUUUCGCCGUCAACCAUGAACAUUGUUCAGCAGCAACAAUAUCAUCAUAAUCGUCGCAAUCCACUUCGAUAUGAUCUACAUCAUCAUCGCUAUCAUCAGCAACAAACAGAACAAGAACGUCUGCAACGACUGCUUCGGCAACAAAUUCUAAUCAACGAUAUUAAUUCAUCAACACUGAUUUCUAGAAUAAUUUCGGGAAUAACUUGAUGCACAAAAUUAUUCACCCUUAAUUUACACUCUGUGGUAUUUAAGGUCUCGAUUAGGUUUUUUCUGCUAACCUUGGAAUUCUUUCAGAGAUAAUACUAUUAGGUGAUCCUUGUAUUACAUGUCUGCCGCAUCGUGUGCGACUUGUGUGUAGAGUAUUAAGUUUUAUACUGGGGUUGUGUGUGGUUAGAACGUGAUAGGAAUCUCGAGGUAUACCCGUAACAAAUGCAUUCUAUUUGCAGUGUUGCCUGUAAUUCGCAAGUAUUGUUUCUUAGCUCGGUCUUGGACGCAGACGGGCAAGAAACAUCUCUAACAUCUUAUUAACCAUUUGUCUUUUUCGCAAAUUUAUAAAUUAAUUUUUCCAGAGAAUAUCAUGAUUGAAUGAGAUCCUCUCUAGAGAGAAAGAGUAAAUAAUGCAAUUGUAUAUGAAGAGUAGCGAUUGGCGCGCAACAGAGGAACAAUGGGUUGUUAACCGUGUAUAAAUAAUUCUACCCAGCUUGGUUUCAUUUUAAUUGAUUCAUUCGUAUGGUAUAUACUGUUUCAACUAAACAAAACCUGUUUGCAGGCAGAUAUCGUACCUGUUAUGCAUGAUAAUACCUUAUUAUACACCAUCUAAUAUCUGUAAUAUUUGCAAAGAUCGAUCGCAAUAUUUGUUUCUAGCUAUAAAACUAUAUUUGUGUGCGCCUAAGGUAUGUGGUUGCUUUAGACAAAAAGAGUAUAUUUCUAUAUGACUUGGAUGUUCCUUUUGGCAGUAUGAAAAUAGUUGACACACAGUAUGUAUAUGUUCCAACUUGAAUAUUGCUUUUUAUACACAUUCUUUAUGGCCACAAGGGUACUUGAUUUGCUUCGUAUCUGAAGCUCUUUUGUAGAGUCAUACCCUUGUGGUGUUCAUAUCUAAAAGAAUUUUGUUUUUCCAUAGAUUUUUUAUUGGGCAAAAGGUUGGGGUUCUUAUUUACCCGUGCGCAUCACAAAAUUUCAUCACAAUCAGCAAAAUAAAAAACAAAAUAACCAAAGAUUUUAUAUAUUAACCUGUCGAUGGUUCAACAGAUGAUUUAUAAGCGAAAUGAAAAGUCGAAGAAUUUGUCGAGCAAUCGUAAUUUUCUUUACCGUUUAAAACUUUUUCCCCUAACAUUGAAUAUUUGUAUAGGUUUAGCAUUUGUACGUACGAUUUUAGAGCGCGUUAUGCCGAGCGCACUUUGUAACAUUUUGAGCCUGAUAUGUUGUAAACACAGUCAUAUAUUCAUCUAUUGCGUGUGCGAAAUGGUCCAUGGUGAAUUUUCCUAAUAUUAGUUGGAUAGUGUUUAGUAAGUUUUUAUCUUUUAAAAUUUUGAAACAAAUCAAAAAAAAAAUCAAGUUGGCUAAAAAAUAUGUUGCGAUUCCAUCCUGGCGUCCCUAGUCUCUGUACGAGAUGUGGAUAUAAUUCCGCAAGGCAGCAGACUAGGGCUCCGCAUUGUUUGCUAACCAUUAUUUUUGUUUUUGCAAGACUUCGUAGUGCCUGAAUUUGCUUUGAAAAUCUAGAAUGAUAAUCGGAACGGAAAGGAAGUGAAUCCGUCAGGAGAUGGAGAACAAAAAAAUAGAAAGUCUAUCCCAACUUAAUCACAAUGCAUAUGCUUUUACUACUAUCUGCCAAUACUAGACCGAUAAAUAGUCGUCUGUAUGUUGCACUCAGAACACAAAAGAUUCAUUACAAUCCGGUGGUUUAUUUGGUAACAGUAAGUCACAUCUUUUUUGCUCUCUUUGAAUUUACAUAAUCGUUAUUUUUAUGAAUUCUAUUAUAGUAACACAAGUUUUGUCUCGGGGUGGAUCUGAAGCUAUUUAAUUAUUUUUUUUUUAUAUUAAAAAAAAAACGCCUUACCAUCUAUAUUUUCCUCAAAAUCAUAACGCCAAGUUCUUUUCUCUCACCAUGAAUUUUAGCCAUUUAUUUUUCUCUCUCUCUCCAUUGUCUAUUUUUGUAAUAUUUCUUUACAUGUGUAUGACAAACCGUGUGUGUUUAGCUUUUUGAAGUUCAGCGCGUGCAGAAUUGCCACUAGACGCGCUCUUUUGAUUGGAAAAUUAUCUUAACCAAAUGUUGGUUGUUGGGGAACCGAAGUUAUAACCACAAGAAAUGAACGUAGAAAACCAGAUUUGACUGAAUGGUGGUCGCUAGCGAAUUUGAUAAGUACAAAUAGUUAACUGUUUUCUUUUGCAAAUGUUUAUUCAUAUAUAGUUUUUAUAUAAUCAUUAACAUGGCGAAUUAUUAUAUAUAUAUAUUUGGGGUACGUUUUCUGUGUAAGAGCCUGCAUAUUUUACAAAUCGUCAAGGAGAAAUUGCUUAGCAUUUUUAUAUACACCUAUUAUGUAACCAGAUAUGAUGUGCGUUUUGUGUAGAAACCAAAGGCGAGGGACAAGAAAUAGAUGGAAAUUGCACUGUAAUUCGAACUAAUACCCGUCACCCGCAAGGUUCUAUUCAUAUGUAACUCUUUAACCUGCUACUUCAAGAGUUUGUUUAAAUACCGAUUUGGAUAUAAUCAUGUAUGUACGUUUUCUAUUUUAAUGUUCGGAUAGUUGAAUAGUCUUAUUUUUUAGAAAUCACUCUUGUGUACUAAUCUCUAGCCCUUACAAAUGAUUUUUUAUAUUCAAUAUUAUUUUCUGGAUACUUUUCAUGUUAUUCCCAUUUAUAAAAUUGUUCAUUUUUCGAUCAAUCUCAUCUGCAUUGGGGAGCAGCUGUUUUCAUAUUUUUUUCCUUCAAAAUCCUGUUGAUUUCUCUCAACAUUAUUACAUUUCUGAUAACUAAAUUAUAUAAUGGAGAAUUUACAGCUUUAAUUAACACAAUCCAAGAUGAACUUGGUCCAAAUCACAUGGAAUAAUUGACAAAUGUUUCGUUGCUAAGAGCUUUUGCCUGACUGGAAAUUGCCAAAUUUCAAAACAAAUGUGAUAAUAUCUCAUAGAUCUGUCCAGAUGUCAUGAAAAACUUAUGGUGUAAGAGUUUGUAUGUAAGGCCCCCAUUAUACAUUUUAUUCUUCUCUAGAGUUACCUUUAACCGAACUUGUUUUGUAUUAUUGUAUGUACUGUACAUUUUUCAUGCAUAACUUCGCAUAUGAUUUUCAUUUUAUUUAAUAGCUGAGGCGAUUAUAAUGGAAAUAAUAUUCAGCCAGUAGUGAUGCGAUGAUUUGUGUAAACAUUUGCAAGAUUUUGCAAUGAUUUUCGUUUUUAAUAUUUGAUUAUCAUGUAUGGAUUUUAUUGUCAAAGCAUUCUUCACGAUGCUUCCGUUUUUUUAGUUCCAUAUCCAGUUUCUCUGCUAAAGAGAGUUAAGAUUACCGUUUCCAAUACUCAACUGUGAUAUACACGAUUUCACAAUUUUCCGUUUUGCGAUAUUGAUGUGAGUAAAUGCUUUUGAACAUUAAUUUCAGAACAAUAUGUACCUCAUUCGAUUGUUAAUUGUUCGCUUUUAUCGAAACGCAGAAGCCAUGCUCUCCCUAUGUUGUGGGAUUUUUUUUGUAAGAGGGCUCGCUCGGCCGUGCCUCUCGUUCAACAUGUAUCAUAACUUAUAUAUAACGCUGCUAUUUACAACGAAAGUAUUUUGUAGAAGUGAUAUUUCUUUAACCACUUGUAUGUGUACUCUUGGAAAAGUAUCUUAUAUAGCGAAAACAAACAGCAUGUCAACUAGAUAUCUUUCAAGCAUAAGUAUAUUCCCUAGGAUAUAUGUUAAUUCGCUUCCUCGUUAACUUUUUGGUAUGUUUGACCAAACUAAUGUAUUUUUACUCUACAGCACAGUAUUGAUUCCAUAAAAGAGAAAACCAAAAACAAAAUAUGUAUCUAAAAAUUUAAUCUCGAAAACGCUUUACCCUCCCUAGAACGAAAUUAUUUUGUAGUAUCUUUUCUAGAAUCAAAUGGAUUUAAUCUGCAAUAAGUACUACUUCAAAUAUUUCAUGUACAUGUUCCCAGCACUGAAGCUGUUUUGUGCGACAAUUACUCUUAUAUUUACAUCUGGAUUACAUGUAACUAUUCACUUAUUGUAUAUCUCAGAAUGUUAACCAAAUAUUUUUUUUGAAAAUUCCAAUUUUAUAUUAUCUCGCCUAUUGUACAUAGAACCACAUGAAAAUCUUUAGAAAGUAAUCUAAAAACUAAUUUUCCAGCCACGAAGCGUUGUAGUAAGUUUUUUUCUUUUCCAAUUAGUAUUUUUGUUGAUUUUUUUCAUUUUUCUUUAUAUUUGCGAUACAACAUUUUCUAUAUUUUAUUACCAAGCUGCUUCCCAUUACAAAGUGCAGGUUCUCAAUGUGAUUUUUUAUAUUCAAUUUUGUUAUUUCUUAAAUACUUUCGAUUUUCCUUCACGAAUUUUUCUACAAUGUAUUUAGUAGGUAGAAUCUGUUCUUACUUUUACUAUAUAUAGUACCAAACUGGAAACUUGUGAUUCCUAUCAUAAUUGUAACACGAAUCCUUGAGAUUUGAAUGAGAUUUUAUGUCUGGCACAAAUGAAAUGAUGAAAGUUUUAACAACAAAAUCGGGGGAAAAAACUGCCCGUGAAAGUGACCAACAACACACACACACGAUCCUCUGUCUUUCGUAAGGUAUAUUUUCGAAAUGAUUUUAUCUCUGUGUAUGCAUAUCUAUAAUUGUUAGUAACGUGUUUAUCAAAACAGAUCCGUUACAUAUUUUUUAUGUAGUUAAGCUUCUCGUGAGCCAGCUUUUGGCAUGUAGAUUGAUUUUGUGUAUACCAAGACAAAACCAUUUACUUACUUCCACUGUAUAGUUUAAGCCACUUAAAAAAAUUUAAAUACCUUUUGCCAUAACUAUGUACCAAAAAGUAGCAUCUCGAAGAAAAUGCGAUUUAUAUUAUGAAUCAAACUUCAACAUAAGUUUCAACAACGAUACCACUAUCGACGGAAUUCUACUUGCCGUAAUCAACCAUAAUCACACGUUGGGGCGAAAUAAUUUUCUCAACAUCUACAAGUUUUCCAUCAACCUCUUGAAGUCGUCUUCUCAUCACACAACUAGUCUAUUAAAAAGGAUUCUCGAGCAACAUUCUGAAUACAAGUGAAGUGUGUGUGCGUAUGUGCUGCUUCAACCUGUUUAGUCUUCCUCAAUAAAUUCCGAGAAUCUGCGAGCUAUUGUGCAUUGAAUACAUCCUUGGUGUGUGACUGUCUAGCGCAGGACGAAAAUAUGGAUGGGCCUGUCUCUCUCAAGAUCGUGCGUUCCCGCUAUAUAUUAUCGGCUAAAUUUGCUAUUCUAUGUGCUGUGGUGCGUGCCAAUGCCUUGUCACAGGCAAGCUUGCUUAAUCGAUGGAGUGCUCGAUGCGAAAAGGAAAAGGUUCCGGUAAAGUUUAUUAGCUUUUCGUUCGUUGCGAUUUGUUUUUAUAUCUUGCAGUUAUGUACGGCGUAAGCGCUAUUUAUUUCGCCCGCCCGCCCACCCUAUUGAGUGCAGUGCGGAGGUUUGUCGCCCUAUUAGUAUGUUGUGCAGUUGAUCUUGAGCAUUCUCCCGUUCACGCAAAUAGCCGGCAAAGUGCUAGUUAAGUAGGAAGCGAGUUCGUACACGUUUUGGCCGUUUACUACAAAAUCUCGUAAAUUGAGCGCCAUUUGAAUCGCCUAUCCGUCUUGUCGUUGCGUAAUCCCGCAUAAUGAACGCCACAGCGGAGUGUGCCUGGCGACCUAAGCAAUAUGGGAAAAAUCAAUUAGUAUAAGCUCUUACAUAAGUUCGCAUCUUAAAUUUGAAAAUUUCGCAGAGUUCUAAUUCCUAACCCGGGUGAAGGGUGUAUAUGUCGAAUCAGUCGAGGAACCGGAAGAAAUCAAUCUUAUUUUGAGUUAGCCGCUUUCGAUCGAAUAGUCUCAUCUCAAUGGCGCAGUGCGUGCGUUGUAUAGUGUGUGCGGUCUUGAAAAAGGAUGUAAACUGCAAGUGAUGUGCAAAGUUCUAGUUUCCUGCCCUUCAGAAAUUCUACAAUAAUCAUCCCCGACCUCUACAAAUUGAAAAUCAGAAUCAGUUAAAACGAAACCCUGCAAGAUCGAGCCAACUCUGCUGCUAGCAGUGGUAAAGUUUUAGGUUUAACCGACGAAACGAAUUGCUUUUGUAUUUUCCAGCAUAUUAAGAAUGCGUUUUGAACAAAAAUCACAAAAAUAGGCCCACAAAUUCCUCAACUUCAGUAAGGCAGAAGAGAAGAGAGGGUGUUAGUCAAUUUAUUCAGGGGAUAAAAACCGGUAACUUUCUAUACGUGGCAUACGAAGAACAAUCAUAUUUUGCAGUGAUAGGAAAACCAGAAUUACAAGCGUCGACGUUUCACUAGAAGAAUUAUCUGAUCGGAAUAUGCAGCAUUUAGAAGCAACUAUCGAUAGGAAGAGAGACCAACCUGUACUAAACAAACUUAAUCCAAAGAGUCGGUAAACUUUGCGCAUUCACCUUUAGAACACGAUCGUUUGCAUAUUUCAGUAUGUUAUAAUGUUGCGUCAUCAGCGAGCCUGAUGUCUUGAGAGUCUGCACAUGAUUCUGCCAACAUCCUUACUGCAUGAAGACGAUAAUCAUAUAUUCAAUACUUGCUGAUGCCCCGAAGAACGGCACUCGGUAAACUUUCAAAUUGCGACGUUAGACGAAGAGAUUUUUGUUCUUUCAGUAGGAUUUAAUCUCAAAGCUACCUGAAAACAUGAUGACAUCUGCAGCCCGAGCCUGCAGUCAACUAAAUUGCAUUUCCCCAUGACCACAAUUUACUUAUUUAUCAAAGGGAUGAUGACCUUCACUAUCAACAAUCGGUUUCUGCAAAUUACACAAUCUUGAACACAUCGGUAAAGAAUGACUUCCUCCGAAUAGCAACGUUGUUUUAUAUAUUCCAGUCAGUUUUUAAAUCCUGAACGAGAGACUUUGUGUACGUGUGCACUAGAUGACAGCAAGAGUUUCACCAUCCACCGGGAAUCCGUUCGCUUCAUUCGCAAUGCAAAUUCGAGCUCUUACAAGUGGAGGUUUAAGCAACUUGCCUGCCACCAGACAGCUCCCGGUAGGAGGAAAAUGCGUAUUCUUGAACUAACAAUCUUUUCUAGGCAUCAAACAGUAUCUUUCCGCAAAUUGUAUGAUGCUGAGCAAUGAGCUACACAUACCUGGUGCUAAGGACGCCGAAUUGCGUUCAUCUAAAACACUGCGGUAGGCAGAGAAUGCCAUAUCUUGGAAUCUUAACAUGUACUUCCAGGACACCAUUUGAAAGUUUCUUAUUUUUGGAAAUGAAGCAUCGGCGGUCACACGUACUAAAAGUGAAAUUCAGUGAAAAAUUCAUCGGGGAUAGUUGAACUUUAAUCCUAGUCGACUCAGCCUCUAUUACUCCACUUACGACCUCUGCAGAAUUUUAUACAUUGAAACCUCCUUCCACAUCUUUACACAUAUUAGUCCAAUCUGCCACUAUUGCACAAGGAAUCGAGAACGCCAGAAGCGCGAAAUAUCGAACGAGAGUUGGGUAAACGCAUAUCACUUUCGAAAAACAAAGGUGUUUUCGUUUUGUUUCAGAGUAUUUUCCUAACACAAUCCAGCCUAAUCUUGGCAGUCCUGGGGAAGUGGUAUACAACAAUCUUGUGGAGAUUUUUUUAUCAGUACAUUCGGGGAUGAGCAGCAGGGUCUAAGUGAAGCGGUGUUAUCUUUAAGAUCCAAAUUGUAGCAGGCUAGGAAGCGGUCUUUUUUAUGUUUCUGGGCGAACGAGUCGAUUUUUCAUCUUCUUGACAUCCUCCAUUAUUCACGAGAAUUCUACUGAGAGUUUGGCGAGAUAUACGACAAGGAGUUUCUGGUCUGCUGGUCUCAUUUCUUCCAUGCUGUGGCGUGUUAUCUAAUUGGGGACCCAACUGAGGCGGAAGGAAAUGUGUUUAUCAGCAAUUUAUGUCGAGUAAACUGAUGUCGUAUCCUGUUGUCUCUACGAGCCUUCAAUCGCUUGGGUGUUAACCUAUAUCUGUAAGCCAUUAUGGGAAGCUGUUCUGACGCUAUAGUAAAUAAGUUAUUUCGAACAUCGUGGGAAAUAUACAACGAGAAAUUAUCAAUGCAACAAUCAACUAUCGGCCGUAAAGUUAUGACGCUGGGAAACCACCCAAUUGCUAUUCGCAAACUAAACUUGGCUCUCCAUCAGCAUAUUCACGUUUCAAAUGUCUGCUUAUGCUGAGAUAUCUUCGUGAGGCUCAACUACUUUUGCUGAUAUAUACUCAUAUAAGACGCUGUGAAAGCGUUUCGUCAUAUUUAGGACGUUUGAAAAUGUUCCUAACCCAGUAACGGAUGCCGAUUACUCAUCUAGAAUGGCCAUCCUCAAUUUCUCACUUUUCAUCUCUGGAGAGCUCGUGCCAAUCACUUACUGUGAAUUCGCCUUUUCAUGAAAGGAUGCAGUCUUGAGUUGCGCCUGAAUUCGACCUGGCAGAAUCUCCCAGCUCCCAGUUGCUAUCUUGCUUGAGGUGUCUGGUGAGUUUUCCAUUGGGUGGCGAGGGAUUAUUAGUGCUACUUACGGUCCGAAACUGCAUCGGCAGCAACGUGGGAUUAGUUGGGACGGCGGCGUGGGAUCCCUGAUAAAUUUGACAACAUCGUGGGACUUCUUUAAAGAAUUGACGGCGGCGUGGGAUUUCCUUAAAGAAUUGACGGCGGCGUGGGAUUUCCUUAAAGAAUUGACGGCGGCGUGGGAUAUCCUUAAAGAAUUGACGGCGGCGUGGGACUCCUUAAAGACUUGACGGCGGCGUGGGAUUUCCUUAAAGAAUUGACGGCGGCGUGGGACUCCUUAAAGAAUUGACGGCGGCGUGGGACUCCUUAAAGAAUUGACGGCGGCGUGGGAUUUCCUUAAAAAUUUUGCUGCGGCGUGGGACCUCUUCAAAGAGUCGACGGCGGCGUGGGACCUCUUCAAAGAGUCGACGGCGGCGUGGGACCUCUUCAAAGAGUCGACGGCGGCGUGGGACCUCUUCAUAGAGUUGACGGCGGCGUGGGACUUCUUCAAAGAAUUACGGCGGCGUGGGAUCUUCUUUAAAGUGUUGACGGCGGCGUGGGAUCUUCUUUAAAGUGUUGACGGCGGCGUGGGAUCUUUUUUAAAGUGUUGACGGCGGCGUGGGAUCUUUUUUAAAGUGUUGACGGCGGCGUGGGAUCUUCUUUAAGUGUUGACGGCGGCGUGGGACCUUCUUCAAAGUGUUGACGGCGGCGUGGGAUUUCUCUGGAUCAUCGGAAAAGGUUUUUCUUUGUAGUCAGUUUCUAGGAUUGGCGACGGCGCUUGUACCCCUUUUCAAUUGGAGGCUAGAUUUGCUUGAGGAGCCCAGAAUUUUCUGUUAUUCCGAAGUUUGAGGGUGUUCUAUUAACUUGGCUCGCAUACGUAGAGAGGACGACAGCGAUAUCCUUACACUUCCAUAUUAGAUGACUCAAUUGGGCUACAUCUUUGGUGAAUAAGGCGUUCAUUUUCACCGCCGACACCAGGACACGAGUUGAAGCAGUUAAUCACAAUGACACUGGUCUUCGAAGCUACAAUUCAUUUCCAACAUUACAUGGAACCCAGGAUUUUGUGUAUCAUCAAAUUGAACCAGAAACAUUGCAUUCACAACUGAGGGGGACUUCAAUUUCGUCCAUUUCUGGACAUUUUUCAAUCUUCCUUCGAUAUUCUACUGGUUGAAGGUUCGUUUUCCCCAAAACUUUCCUUUCGACAUCACUCCAGCUGCAGAUCAUAUGGUAGAUAUUCGAACAACGAGGCUUCAAUGAUGUAUUUUUUGGUGUUGCACCGAUCCUUCAAGAACAUCCUUUAACUACCACGGUGAUUUCAACGAACGCCAUUACUUUACUAAAUGGCAAUCAUGCUAUUGAGCUAAAAACGGAAAGGACUCGAUCGCCUGUUUUCCACUAAGAUACUUUUUCAACUCUGCAAUUUUGAGGAAAAUCUAUUAAAAUGGAGAAUCUAAACUGCUGGAUCUGUUAAAGUCAAGUUGGAGUGAAGAAUUCAAAUUGUUGACUCUGCUGAAGCCAAACUUGUUGGAUGGAAGUAGACGCUGUUUCCUGAUAAGUUCAACUUUUCGACUUGCCAAGACUUAAUUUUGAAGACCAUUUUCUAUGCCACUGGGGUACAUCAUCAGCUUAAGGUAUCAUUAAACUACGCAAGCAACAUUUCGGGGAUUCACAUAAACAUGGUUAGAUCUCAACAUAACAUUUCCAGUUCUUUACCAAAAAGACUCCUGGACUUCGGUCGCCAUGAGGAUUUUGUCGGGCAUAUUAUUAUUUAAAAAAAUUCAAAUUUUUAUAAUUGAAGAGACCUUAGGAACUCACGUUCAAUUCUUUGGAAGCGGCAGUGGAUACUUCAACUGCAGGCUGACUUUGAUAUCGGAAUACUUUUCUUUUUUACACAAUGUACCAUUAAUGUUAGGAUAGGGAAAUUAUCGAUGAGGGUGCAUCAGAGUUACUCAAAACUAAAUCAAGUAAAUUCGUUGUCUGCUGAAAUCAAUUGUUCAUGGGAUUGCGGAAGCUUCUAGAUUUUUGCAAUAAAGGUGUGAAUGACGAAAAUAUUUGAAUGAAA
rnacentral:lncRNA from 1 species